CAGUAUAUUUGAUUUGGGAGAAAUGAAGUAACAGCUGCCCAAACUGAGCUUGAGCACUCCUGAAUUUUGAGGUGUUCAAAUCUGGAAGGGAGCAAGAUCGGUGGAUGUAUAUUUCCCUGAAGCCUCCUGGUUUGACUACUACACAGGUGAUGAAGUGCCAGCUUCCUGGCACAGAAAAUAUGUUAGUGUUGAUGCCCCAUUGGACAAGAUCCCACUCUUUCUCCGUGGAGGUUACAUUCUGCCAACACAAGCACCAGCCACAACUACUACUCGGAGCCGUCUGAACCCAUUUGGACUUAUUAUUGCUCUGGAUGAACGAGGAGAAGCCUCUGGGUCCCUCUUCUGGGAUGAUGGUGAUUCUAUUGAUUCUAUUGAAAAGGAAGUCUAUUUCUUGGCCAAAUAUACAUUCAGUGAAGGCCAAAUGAGGACAAAGAUUGUCAAAAAUGGCUACCGUGGAGUUGAUUCUCUGAUAUACAACACUGUUCAGGUUCUUGGUGUGACUUCAAGACCUAAUGCUAUUGUUUUGAAUGGAAAUGUCAUCCAUGGCAAGGACUUACAGUAUCAAGAAAAUGGGAAACUCACCCUACAGAUUUCUGUACCACUUACUGAGGAGUUGAACAUUAUACUUCAGUAGAAUAUUAAGAAAGUGUGUAAUUCAAUAUAAAUGAAUCUCAAAUGUUGAUGUCAUUCUGAUUUUAAUGUCAAAAUAAAAAAAAUCAAUCUUUGUUGCUUA